rnacentral:misc_RNA from 1 species
GAUGAAGAACGUAGCAAAAUGCGAUAAGUAAUGUGAAUUGCAGAAUUCAGUGAAUCAUCGAAUCUUUGAACGCACAUUGCGCCCGCUAGUAUUCUGGCGGGCAUGCCUGUCCGAGCGUCAUUUCAACCAUCAAGCCCCGGGCUUGUGUUGGGGUCCUGCGGCCGUCCGCAGCCCCCGAAAAGCAGUGGCGGGCUCGCUAUCACACCGAGUGCAGUAGUAUCUCCUCGCUCAGGACGUGUAGCGGGUUCCGGCCGUGAAACCCCCCAAUUUUCAAGGUUGACCUCGGAUCAGGUAGGAAUACCCGCUGAACUUAAGCAUAUCAAUAAGGGAGGA